rnacentral:lncRNA from 1 species
CAAACGGACUUUACCCAGAAAAAAGCUGCCUACUCAAAUUCUUUUAUUGUCCUGAUUUGAAGAAGUUUUUUUUUAAUCAGAUAGGCAUGAAGACUAAUAAACACCUGAUACUUCAAUUUCUCUUUUUGAAAAAAAAAGAAAAUGCCUACCUACCUACCCACUGUCUCAACCUUUGGGUAGGGUUUGGGCAAACAAAAAUAUUUGUAAUUGUGGCCUU